GUGUCAGCCGCCGCGGUAAUACGUAGGGGGCAAGCGUUGUCCGGAAUUAUUGGGCGUAAAGCGCGCGCAGGCGGUUCCUUAAGUCUGAUGUGAAAGGCCACAGCUCAACCGUGGAGGGCCAUUGGAAACUGGGGAACUUGAGGACAGAAGAGGAGAGCGGAAUUCCACGUGUAGCGGUGAAAUGCGUAGAUAUGUGGAGGAACACCAGUGGCGAAGGCGGCUCUCUGGUCUGUAACUGACGCUGAGGCGCGAAAGCAUGGGUAGCGAACAGGAUUAGAAACC
rnacentral:rRNA from 1 species